rnacentral:rRNA from 1 species
UACGUAGGUGACAAGCGUUGUCCGGAUUUACUGGGCGUAAAGAGCGCGCAGGCGGUCGUUCAAGUCGAGUGUGAAAGCCCCCGGCUCAACUGGGGAGGGUCAUUCGAUACUGCUCGACUUGAAGGCAGGAGAGGGAAGUGGAAUUCCCGGUGUAGUGGUGAAAUGCGUAGAUAUCGGGAGGAACACCAGUGGCGAAGGCGACUUCCUGGCCUGUUCUUGACGCUGAGGCGCGAAAGCUAGGGUAGCAAACGGG